GUGGGGAAUAUUGGACAAUGGGGGCAACCCUGAUCCAGCGACGCCGCGUGUGUGAAGAAGGCCUGCGGGUUGUAAAGCACUUUUAGUGGGGAUGAAAAGCACAUCGCUAAUACCGGUGUGUCUUGACCUAACCCAAAGAAAAAGCACCGGCUAACUCUGUGCCAGCAGCCGCGGUAAUACAGAGGGUGCGAGCGUUAAUCGGAAUUACUGGGCGUAAAGCGUGCGUAGACGGUUAUUUAAGUCGGGUGUGAAAGCCCCGGGCUCAACCUGGGAAUUGCAUUCGAGACUGAAUAGCUAGGGUGCGGUAGAGGGAAGCGGAAUUUCCGGUGUAGCGGUGAAAUGCGUAGAUAUCGGAAGGAACAUCAGUGGCGAAAGCGGCUUCCUGGACCAGCACCGACGUUCAGGCACGAAAGCGUGGGGAGCAAACAGGAUUAGAUACCCUAGUAGUCC
rnacentral:rRNA from 1 species